GCCUCUCUAUUAAUGUGCUUGGACAGAGCUCUGUGAACAGCCAGCCUCUUUUGCAAUGACCUUUUGUGUCUUGUUAUGGUGUAACUCAAUAUCGUAAUGCAUUACUUUUAAUUAAGACUUUCCCCAACAGUGCUUCUGAGUAUGAUAAAGGAAUAAAAGUUCUUGCUUUUUAGGUUUAUUGUCAUUUUUCAGUGAGAAGUCCUAUUUUUAAAAGUUGAAUCAUCUUGUGAUGCCAAAGUUCGGGUGUCAAAUACAUUAAGCUUUAUUUUCUGUAAGCAAUGUCAAUUAUCUCUCAGAUAUGGAAAUUAGACUUGUUAACUGUGAAUAGUAAUUAUUAGUUAGUUGUCAUGCUUAUUGUAAGUGCUUGUUUUUCUCAUGAAGUGGCUUAUCAGUAUGAGCAGUCGCAGGCUGUCAUUGCUUUGUGCAGUUUCAGAAUGCAGUGGCAUACUUGUGUUUUUAACUCAAAGCAUGAGCUCAUUCUCAUUCUGAUGAUGGUGUUAUUCAGUCUAAAAAUGUGCUUCAUCAGUAAUGAUGGUGAUGCAUUCAUGAGAAGAGGAAUCAGGACUGACAUGGGUUAUUUGUUCAGACACUUGCAUUGUGAGUCCUGUAGACGAGCUGUUGUGUGAACGGAGUUGUAUGAACCACAGACGUCAGACGCUGUUAUCAGUGCAGUCAUGUUCAUGCUGGUGAGGUUGAGCUGAGAUAAGAGCGAACAGGACACUGCACUGUCAUUGGGCUGUUCAGUUGCUCUUCACCUGCCAAAGGAAAUGUUUCCCAACAGACUGAUAUUGCUCGGUCAAACGUGUCUCGGUGACCCAAUGUUUCCAAAGCACUUUGUCAAGAAAAGCUUCAACACAACUCAUUUAUGACAGCUAAACACACAACAGCUGAGAGUACGAGACACACACACACACAGCAGAAGAAAUACAACCCAUCUUUUAUUAGCACUAAUAUUAUUUAUAUUUAUUGCUAAAUUGAAGGUUUACGUGUUUCAUAUAAAAUGGUCAUAACAAUUUUAACACAAACUGAUACAUUUCAUGUGAUGCAUCUUUGUCAGUCAUGCAUCAAUGAAACAGGUCAGAUUUCUGCAAUAUUACUAUUAAACUAUUAAAUGUGUGUCAAAUACCAAAAUGAAUAUUGCUUUUUUCACAGCUAGCCAUAUGUUAACCGUGUUCAUACUUUUUUCUUUUUUUUUUAAACAUUUAUCUGUUUUAAGAAUUUUUCUAAUUCUAAGCAAUUUAAUUUAAUGCAUUUUAAAAUACGAUUGUUUAAAUGAAAAAUUAGAUGCAACUAGUCAAUAAAAACAAUCAACUUCAUUUAUGCAUGACUGACAAAUAUGCAUCACAAUUUCCGUUAGUUAAGUUAAAACAGUAAUGCAAAUGGAUGUUUAUAUUAUUAAAUUUUAUAUGCAAUUCGAAUACAGACUUGAUUUUUUAAAAUAAAAUUGUAUUAAGUUCUAAAUAAAUUCUAAUUUUUAUACUGAAUAAUGAGGUUAUUUGAGAUCACCGUAAGAUGGUGAAUCUGAACAAGUUCAUAAUGAUUGACACAGCCGUUCAUGUCUGUUCUGUACGUUCACACACACACUUGAAAACAAGAGUAAAGUCUGAAAGCAGUAGAAAGUGCAGAGAUGGGUUCAGGGGACUGGAUUAUCUGUGUGUCAUGGUUCUGCUUUACUGCCUGCUUCUGCUGGAGUUAUCUGCUGUCAGCACAGGACUGUAUUAAAGCAGCUAAAUGUUUUCUGAUUCAAAAAGUAUGAAUGGUCAAAAUAUGGCUAGCUGUGAAACAAGCAAUAUUCAGUUGGCUAAAAUGAAAGAGUUUCAAAUGAAUGGAUUUGCUGAUGUUUAAUAGUUAUAAUCGAUGGUUGUAAUCAGUUUGCGGUGUUUUUCAUGAGUGGUCUACAGCUCUCUGGUGUCUCCUGUAUUUGAAUAGUGCUUUAUAAAACACUGGUCGUGUCAAAGUAGCUUUAAAGAGUCAAACAGGAAAAUAGUGUGUCAGUGAUGCAAGAGGACGAUAACAGAGAGUCAUUUGGAUUCAGUGAUGUCAUCAUCCAGUCCAGCUCUCUUCAGUGUGUGUGUGCUCUGCAGAAGUGAUGUCUGACACCAGUUGUUGUAAUUCCUGCAGAGUUUAGUUUCAACACUGCUCCAACACACAUACCACGUUGUUUUCAAAGAAGAUCAGGUGUGUUUAAACUCUGCAGGGCUCCGGCCCUCCAGGAAUUGAGUUAGACACACCUGGUUUAUACCAAGGCUCCUCAAACCUCUGCUUGGGCUUUAUUCUGUGCUGUUGUCUUGUGGGAUGUUCUCUUUGAUUGUGUUUAUGGAGGUCGACUUCGAACAGGACGUGCAGUGUCCAGUUCGUCAACAGUUGCUCCUUCAUUCAUGAUCCUGGCCUUGGUUCUGUCCGCGGUGAAGCAGGUGGAGUUACGUGCACUGCCUCACAUGUGAGUUCAACAGAGUGUUUGAUCUGUGUUGACACACGCUUUAGGUGAAGGUUCCUGGCAGAUAAACAGGUAAGCAAACACGGACACAGUGAGGAGCACCAAUCGCUGGCUCUCUACAGAAUGGCAACAUCGCCCUACAGGUUCAGCGCGUCAUGUGGAAGUGGACAUGGCCAGUGUUAGCUGCGCGGGUGUUGAUAAGACCCUGAUACAGCUGGAGUUAAAAGAGUUCAUCCAUACGGCCUGGAGGUUGUGUUGCCACACCUUCUGAACCUAAUAAUGUGUUUCAGGUCAAUUUGACCCCCACUUGAUUUGAAACACUGGUUAAACUAUUUAUUUCUUCUUAAAAAUAAAUAGACUUUUUCUCAUUUAGGACCUUGCAUGUGAAGAUUUAACAUAUAGAAAGGUCCAAAAGCUGUCACUGGGGCAGAACCUUUUCGAAAGGUACAAAUAUGUGCAACUUCGACUUGGGUGCAAAAAUGUUCCUUUAAGGUACUAAAAUGUUCCAUUCAGGGGCAAAUGGGAUUCACAAAUGUCCCUUUUGAAAUGUCACGGUCCCAGAUUGAUUGUUUAGGUCUGUUUUGGGAAAGCUGCACAAAUCUCCUACCAUUGGUUGCAAUGCAAUUCAACCAAAAACAUCAACACGUGUUACACAGAAAAAUAAAACGAAUAAAACUUGUGUCAAACACUACAGUAUGAAAUAAAUACAAACUUUAGAAUUUAAUGUAUAAAUUUAAGAUUCAAAGUUUACAGUCAAGAAUGUGUGAGAUGACUGGUUUGUUUUAUGGAUCUCAGAUACAGGUCUGUUACAGCAUGAAAAUAAAUAAGUGUGUGAAGUACGGUGUACCCUCACAAGGGUGUGAGAAACAAACAUGACAACGGCAGACGCUAUUGACACACAGUACACAGAAUGUUAGAUACUAUUUAUACUAAGUUAUUUGCUCUUCAGUGUUCACGGAUGUUCAUUUGAAAAUAAAAACUUAGUUUGUGUCUGCGCAGCAAAUUUUGAACAUAAAAAUAUGCAGUGACCCGAAAAACACAAAGGGAGGAGCUUAAUAAAUCUAAGUAGGGUUCAUAAUAUCUCAUUUUAUAUAUAUUUUUUAGAGGUUUCCGGUUGUAGAUGAGUAUUUUUAUUUCCAUAGUGUUGAUUUUUGUUGAAUUGCAUAGACAUCAGUUGGGGUCAGUCUAAACCCCCAACACAAGGGCUUCUGAUAUUCAGCACAACACGGGACAGCGCUACAGUCACGGCUCCUCGGGUGGCUCCUGUGAGUGUCUGAAGUCCUGAAACUGGACACUGAAACAUCAUCUGUGUGACUACAGUAAGCUGUGCUAACGCCGUCUGAGCUGUACGUGCAGCAGAUCCAGAUCCUCCUCCAGUCAGACCUAAUGUGUGCCAGCUGUGCGGCCGUGCACCAGUCCCUCAGAGAGCAGCAGAUGUUCCUGAGGAUUCUGCAGAGUCACGGAAGAGCCCGAGGCGUCGUGCUGUGGAUCCUGGAGCUCUGUGAGGAUGAGACGGCCUCAUGAAGCAGAUGUGUGUCCGUCAACAGCAGCGCUGCGGCACAGUGUUCUUCAUGCUCUCAGAGGAGCAGCACUUACACAAACUCCACUGAUACGGCUCUGGAUGUUUCUGUAAGUGCUAACAGAUGUGUUCGUGCGGUUUCCUCUCACUUCUGCCUUCAUUAUUGGCAGUGAGUCAGGAUUGAUCUGACGGCUGUUUUCUGCAGGAGGAUCCUUCCUGCGAUCGCAUUCUGUGGUAAAAAUUACACAAACGCUUUCCACCCACCCAGUCAUGUGACCUGAUCAAACAGAGAGGCUGUAGGAAGUGGAACAUGCUGAAACACAGCGCACACAAGGCCUUUACAACAGUCUUCGGUAAAGCAUUAUAAGUCAGGAACAAAACCAGCUUUUACCAACUUUGAUUUGGAGCAAGAAAUCAGACAAGAAGAGAAAGGUGGAAGAGUUGAACUGAACAGAAAAACUGCAAUCCCAUGAAGUAUUGCAAAUGAUGUUGUGUGUAUAUGGACAAAUGAUAUGUUUUACAUUUAUUGCAAAUAAAUUCUUAUUAUACAUACAAACAUGUAAGUAGUUUGGCAGCUUCAUGGGAGUGGGCGGAGCUAAGAGAUUUCUCUGCAGGAUCAUGGGUAAUGUAGUUUAACACCAGAAGACCUGCUGUUAAGUGUGAUUAUUUACAACAUUUAUUAGAAGUAAUGCAAACAAAUGGAAAAAGUCUAAUUAUAAGUUGUUGUACACAAUUACCCUAUGAAAACAAAUAAAUGAGAUUUGUCUUAAAUAAUCUUAAAUAUUGAGAUUCAUUUUGUUUGCAGACGAUACAAAUAUUUAUGCAUCUGGAAACGAUUUACAACAGCUGUGUCAAAUUGUUACUUUAGAACUUUAACGUGUUAAUAAGUGGUUCAGACGAAAUAAAUGAUCACUAAAUCUAAGUAAAAGCAAAAUGAUGAUAUUUGGCAAUGGUAAUUUCAAUAUUCAGGAAACAAUUCAGAUAGAGGGUGUUGUUAUAGAGCGGGUGCAUGAAGUUAAAUUACUUGGAGUAAUUAUAGAUGAUAGAAUUACUUGGAACUCUCAUAUUAAAUAUUUAGUUACAAAAAUAUCAAUAAAUAUUUCAGUAAUUACAAAAGUAAAGCAUAUUUUCAACAUCAAAGCUCUGCAUACUUUGUGCUGUUCUUUGAUUUUGCCCCAUUUACAUUAUUGUUCGGUGGUAUGGGGUAGUACUUAUAAAAGCACAUUAAAACCUAUAGUAAAGUUGCAAAAAAUUAUUUAAUUCAUUCAUUCAUUCAUAAAGCUGGGUUUUUGGAUCACACAAACUCAUUAUUUUUAAAAUCUAAGUUUAUGAAGUUUUAUGACAUUGUUGAGUUCUAAUCAAUAACAAGUCAAACACAAAGCAGGUUUCAUGAAUGUACUGGUUAUUAUGAAUUACGUGAUGAAUUAAACUUUAGGAAGCAGAAACAGUACAACUUUGAAAAGUUUUAGUCUUAAAGUUAAUGGGGUACAAUUGUGGAAUAAUUUGGAGAUGGGGAUGAAACAAUGUCCAAAUAUCAACCUGUUUAAAUAUAAAAAUAAACAAAACAUUUUUGAAAAGUAUAGAGAAGAAGAAAUGAAUUGUCACUUGGGAUAUUCUACAAUAGGAUACUGUGAGUGUAUAAAAUACGUUAAUUGUUUUUUUUCUUGUUGAUAUUGUUUCCUUGUGUUGUUGCUAUUGUACUAUUAUAAAAUGAUAAUUUUUAUUGUAUUAAUUUUUUAUUUAUUAUUAAUAUUAUUAUUAUUUUUUCGUAUUACCAUGUAUUCAUUUUGGGGGUGGGCGCUUAUAAGCUCUUUGCUUCGGCCCGCUCCUUGUGAGCAGAAUGGUUACUGCUCAAAUAAAUAAAACUAAAUAUGUGACAUUUCAACAGAUUUGUCUGUAAGGCCUGUGGAACCGCUAGUGUCAAGACUUUCUAAACCUAUUUCAACAUUCAAAUGGACAAAUUAAAGUGUAAAAAAUGGCAUUUUUAUCAUUUUUUGAACUUCACAAUGAGAUUGAACUUGAAAGCUGAGUUUAAAUCAAUAGUAAGCACAAAGAUUACUGCGAUUAUUGGAUGUGAGGCGCGUUAUAUACAAAUAACGUUGAGUGAAGUUAAGAUGUGAACUCUGAAUCCACUCAGAAAAAUGAGUUCAGCUGAACUUCUACAGAUCUAUUACUGUAUAUUCUUAAUGAGGUAGAAUUUCCCUUUCAAAAUAAUAAUACAGUUUAUGAAGACAGACAUUAUUUUAAAGAAUAUCCACGACUCAUUUCUGAUCAUAGGGCAGUAUUACUGGUAUAUAUUUUAAUAUAUUUAAGUCUUUCGUUUAGUGUUUUAUGGAAAAUUGUAUUCAUUAGAUUAGAAAUGAUUUUUGAUUAUUAAGGUUUAGUUAAAAUGGAAUCCAGAAAAAUGGAAAAAAUUAAUUUGGGAAAAUAUUAAAUGGAAUUUGGGAGAAAUAAGGCUGAUUAGAUAGAGCCCUGAAGAACCUUGUCCUGUAAAACUCUCAUGUUUGUCAGCAUAAAUACAGAUCGACACACUGUGGACUUCAUGAUAACGUCACUAUCUUAUCAUUAAGAGUGAUAAUCUUCAGCUUUAUUUUCAUUAAUAUCAGUGUUUGUCAAUCUGACCCUGGUGCAGUGUGAGCGUCUGAUCCAGAGCCUGAGAUAUAUAUACAUUUGUUUAAUUCUAUUGUAUUUACUGCGUUUAUGUCUAUUGUGAAUUGUGCUUUGUCUGUAAACAUACUGUUAUGCAAGAAAAAUCUCAUAAAUCUCACAAGAGAGUAGAUAUGUGUGUGUAUCUGUCUGGAGAUGUGUAAUGUUCAGAGAGCAGCAGGUGAUCAGGUUCAUGGUUCGCUGCCGGACUCUCCACUCUCCGUCCUGGGUGUGUGUCUCUGAUGGAUCUGAUCACAGGAACUGGAAUCGAUCUCAGUGCGCUCUUCACGUCACACAGUCAAGUGUUUGGUGGCGUGAUGCUUAUUUGUGGCUCUCAGGAAGCUGUUUUUCAGGAACAGGAGGACAUAACUCUGUGUGAGGAGACAGCGCAGGCUUCCUUUCCUUCAGAUGGUUUCUCACUUUAGUUUAGUUUAACUUGACACUACUGUAACUGAAUCAAAUUAAAAUAAAGAAAACACAACAAACUAAAUUAACAUGAAAGCAGAAAAUAUCAAAUAAAAU